UACGUAGGGUGCAAGCGUUAAUCGGAAUUAUUGGGCGUAAAGGGUGCGUAGGCGGCCUGACAAGUCUGAUGUGAAAUCCCUGGGCUCAACCCAGGGCCUGCAUCGGAAACUGUCGGGCUUGAGUAUGGGAGAGGUGAGUGGAAUUUCCGGUGUAGCGGUGAAAUGCGUAGAUAUCGGAAGGAACACCUGUGGCGAAAGCGGCUCACUGGACCAUUACUGACGCUGAGGCACGAAAGCUAGGGGAGCAAACAGG
rnacentral:rRNA from 1 species